rnacentral:rRNA from 1 species
UACGUAGGGGGCUAGCGUUGUCCGGAAUCAUUGGGCGUAAAGCGCGUGUAGGCGGUCCGGUAAGUCCGCUGUGAAAGUCGGGGGGCUCAACCCUCGGAUGCCGGUGGAUACUGUCGGGCUUGAGUACGGAAGAGGCGAGUGGAAUUCCUGGUGUAGCGGUGAAAUGCGCAGAUAUCAGGAGGAACACCAAUUGCGAAGGCAGCUCGCUGGGACGUUACUGACGCUGGAGACGCGAAAGCGUGGGGAGCAAACAGG